CAUCAAAUUUGCAUUUUAUGAGCCAAACAGAGAGACAGAUUCUCGCGGUUUUCAUUUUUCUUCUUAGUUUUGAUCACAUUCUUGUCUCUUUCACCUGCAAAAACCCAUUUCUCAGAAAAAACCCUAAUCUCUUCUGGGGUUUCUUCCUCUAUUUUCAGAAUGAUAACGGGGAGGAAGAAAAAGACUAUGCCUUUAAUGGAUAGAAUUGGGCGGCAUCCGGGUGUUAACAGCAGUGUAACAGCAAAGAAUUUAUUGACUAAUGAUAUUGGAGGGGUCAUAUUUGGAUGUACAAGAUACACCAUGGAGGAAUGUCUCUCCAACCAGAUAUUUGGUUUACCGGCUUUCCACAUUGCAUACAUAAAGAACAUCAAACCUGGCUUGCCACUAUUCUUGUUCAAUUACUCUGAUCGAAAAAUGCAUGGAAUAUAUGAAGCUGCAAGCGAUGGCGAAAUGAAUAUCAACCCAUAUGGAUGGAGUGAAAAUGGUCAAGAGUUUACUAAAUAUCCUGCACAGGUACGCAUAUGCAUCCGAAAGCAAUGCAAGCCAUUGUUAGAAAACCAGUACAAACCAAUAAUCAUAGACAACUAUUACACUGAAGGUCAUUUUUGGUUUGAGCUUGACCAUUCUCAGACCGGUCAUUUGAUCUGGCUGUUUGAAUCCUCGCCCAUAGCUGUCCCUGUGUAUCCUCAAGCUGCACCCAAGCAGAAAUUGGCUUCUAAACCUAGUAAGGAAGUUGAAUGUGAAGAUUCGUGGGAGACAGUUUCAGACAGUACUGUGACUAACUUGAAUCAGCAUGAGGUAGCAAUCAAGUCUCCAGCUAAGCUUCCACAGUAUAAGUCAAAGUGGAAUGUUCUUCGAGAUAUGAACUCUGAGUCUGAUGAAAAUGAAGAGGAAGCUCUGAGCUUUUAUGAUUCAGAGGAUGAUACUCCUUGGCAUGUGCAGACCAGCUUUGAGUUAGGUUCAUCAAGUCCUACUCCAUGCAAGGAGGAACUUGUCUAUGGUAAACUAUUGCAGUUGGUUAAUGAAAAUGAGAAGGCAGAUUGCGAUUCAGUAGGUGAUGAAGAAAAUGUUGGUUGGUCGUGUGAUUUGAAUGCUAGCGCUGUGGACAUCAAUUGUGAGCCAGAGAUACCAUCGUUUAAUUCAGAGAAGCAUGAAGUGGUCUCAACCAAUUCUUCUGAUGCUCGUUCUGAAAACAACCAGAAUUGGGAACCUGAUUUAGAUAAGUUGGAGGAAGAAAAUGAGGAGGACCUUGUCUACCGUAAACUAUUGCAGUUGGUUAAUGAAAGGGAGAAGGCAAAUUGUGAUUCAGUAGGUAAUGAGGAAAAUGUUGGUGUGUCAUAUGAUUUGACUAGCCAUGCGGACUUCAAUUGUGAUUUAGUAGGUGAUGAAGGAAAUGUUGGUGCGACGUAUGACUUGACUAGCCAUGCGGACUUCAAUUGUGAGCCAGAGGCGCCAAUACUUAGUUUCGAGAAGCAUGAAGUGGUCUCAACCAACUUUGUUGAUACUCGCUUUUUCUCACCUACCUCUUCUGGUGUCAAGUCUAUUUUAGAUCAGUUGAGGAAAGAGGUUGAUGAGGUUAAAGUUCAAGAACUUCAAAUGACUAGUCAAUUGGAGAUGAAACUGACUAAGGCAGAGAUUCAAGUUCAACAGUUGACAGAGCGUAUCACAAAACUGGAGUCUCAGCUGAGUCUUUCCACUGCAUCUGUAAAGAGUCUAAAGACAUGUUGGGCUGAUACCAUGGACAUGGAGGAGUUCCUUGGCAACAAUAAGCUAGUAUUCUUAUUUGGUGGUUAUGAUGGCGCUGCUUGGUUGUCAACCGUGGACUGUUAUUCACCUCUUAGUGACACCAAGAAAUCUUUAGGGCCAAUGAACAUAGCCCGUUCAUAUGCCGCAGCUGCUGCCCUCUGUGGUGACAUUUAUGUAUUUGGUGGUGGAGAUGGUAAAUUGUGGUUGAAUACAGUUGAAUCUUACAAUGCACAAAGAAACGAGUGGACUCCCCGUCCUUCAUUAGCACACAAAAAGGGAUGCUUAUCCGGGGUAACUUUGGGUAACAAAAUUUUUGCAAUCGGUGGUGGAGACGGUGUGAAUUGCUUUUCAGAUGUAGAAAUGUUUGAUCCAGCUGUUGGAAAGUGGAUGCCUACUCAGCCCAUGCAUCAAAAGAGGUUUUCUAGUGCUGCAGUAGAGCUCAAUGGUGCGAUUUAUGUUGCUGGGGGAUUUGAUGGAGAAGACUACUUGAAUUCAGUGGAACGAUUUGAUCCCAGAGAAGUAGUUUCUUGGUCCAGCAUCCCAAGUAUGAACAUUCGACGAGGGUGUCACUCCUUAGUCACUAUGAAUGAGAAACUAUACGCGUUAGGAGGCUAUAACGGAGAGAACAUGGUUUCAAGCAUUGAGGAGUUUGACCCUCGUAAGAACUCAUGGAUAGUACGCGAUGAAAUGAAGGAAGCUAGAGGAUAUGCAACUGCAGCAGUCAUUGGAGAAUCAAUCUUUGUUCUUUCAGGGCUGAAAAAUGGCAAAGUAUUGACAGAAACGGUGGAGUGUUACAAAGAAGGUCAGGGUUGGUCAGUGGCUAACCUUAAGGGCGCAGGGAAGAGAUGCUUCUUCACCGCGAUUUCUAUGUGAAGUGUCGUUGGAGCAUGAGGUUAGGAGGUGACAGACUUAAAGAACGUCGAACCUGGCUUGCUGCUCAUCUUGUUCAAUUACUCUGAUCAAAAAAUGCAUGGAAUAUAGGAAGCUGCAAGCAAUGGAGAAAUAAAUAUCAAUCCAUAUGGAUGGAGUGAAGAUUGUCAAGAAUGAACUCAAUACCCUGCCCAGGUCCUCAUAUGUAUUCGAAAGAAAUGCAAGUCACUGUUUGAAUACCAGUUCAAACCAAUACUUAUAGACAUCUGUUACUACUGAAUAUUAUAUUUGGUUUCAGCUCGACCAUUCUCAGACAGGUCAUUUGGUCCUGCUGUUUGAAUUCUCGUCCAUAACUGUCCCUGUGCAUCCUCGAACUGCACCUAUAUGAAAGUUAAAUGUGAAGAUUCAUGGGAUGCAGUUUCAGACAGUAUUGGGACUCAAUUGAAUCUGCAUCAGGUAGCAAUUGAGGCUCCAGCUAAUCUUUCACAGUAUUCGUUAAAGUGGAAUGUUCUUCGAGAUAUAAACUCUACGCUGGUGAAAAUAAAGAGGAAGGUCCGAGCUUUUCUGAUUCAGAGGAUGAUACUCCUUUCCUCCUUGGAAUGUGUCAACCAGCUCUGAAUUAGGUUCGUCAAGUGCUACAUGUGGGGAUGAAAACAACCAGAAUUUGGAACCUGAUUUAGAUAAGGUUGAGGAAGAAAAUGACGAGGAACUUGUAUACCAUAAACUAUUGCUGUUGGUUAAUGAAAGAGAGAAGGAAAAUUGUGAUUCAGUAGGUGAUGAAGAAAAUGUGGGUGUCUCGUGUCAUUUGAAUGCUAGCUCCGUGGACUUCAAUUGUGAGCCAGAGGUACCACUGUUUAAUUCAGAGAAGCAUGAAAAAAGGUCUCACCUACCUUUUAUGAUGUUCAGUCUAUUGUGGAUCAGUUGAGGCAAGAAGUUGAAGAGGUCAAACCGUUAAGUUCAACCCCUUCAAAAGACUAGUCCAUUGGAGAUGAAGCUGGUGCUAUUAAUUUACUAUGGCAGAGAUUCAAGCUCAACUGUUGACAGAGCGUAUCAUUAAACUGGAGUCUCAGCUGGGUGUUUCCGCUGCAUCUGUAGAGAGGCUAGAGACAAGUUUUGCUAAUACCAUGGACAUGGAGGAGUUCCUUGGCAAUAAUAAGCUGGUAUUCUUAUUUGGUUGAUAUGAUGGCGCUGCUUGGUUGUCAAUCGUGGUCUGUGUAUUCACCUCUUAGUGACACCAGGAAACCUUUAGGGCCGCUGCUGCUGCCCUCUGUUGUGACGUUAACGUAUUUGGUGGUGGAGAUGAUACUUUGUGGUUCAAUACAGAGAUUUUCUAUUGCUGCAGCAGAGCUCAACGGUGCAAUUUAUGCUGCUGGGGGAUAUGAUGGAGAAGACUACUUGAAUUGAACGAUUUGAUCCGAGAGAAGUAGUUUCUUGGUCCAGCAUCCCAACUAUGAACUUGAAAUAGGGUGUCACUCCUUAGUCGCUAUGAAUGAGAAAUUAUACACAUUAGGAGGAUAUAAGUCUAUAACGGAGAGAACAUGGUUUCAAGUGUUGAGGAAUUUGAUCCUCGUAAGAACUCAUGGACAGUAAGUGAUGAAAUGAAGGAAGCUAGAGGAUAUGCAACUGCAGCAGUCAUUGGAGAAUCAAUCUUUGUUAUCUCAGGGCUGAAAGAUGGCAAAUUUUAUUGACAGAAACGGUGGAGUUUUACAAAGAAGGUCAGGGUUGGUCCGUGGCUAACCUCAAGGGUGCAGGAAAGAGAUGCUUCUUCACCGCAAUUUCCAUGUGAAUUACCAUAGCAGCAUGAGGUUAGGAGGCGACGAAUUAGAAGUUUUUGUUGAUCCCUGGUGGGCUUUUUGUAGGUAAAUAUUAGUAUCCCCAUUAGGCCAUUAUAUAUCCUUGUUACUAGUUUAGACUCAAAGUGAAUUAUAAAAAGUACAGAAGUUAGACAGAAGAAAGUAUUUAUCAGUUACCCUUUUUUUGAGAAGAAAGGUUGAAAU